GACAGAGGGGGCAAGCGUUGUCCGGAAUUACUGGGCGUACAGGGCACGCAGGUGGCUGCAUAGGUGGCGUGUGAAAGCCCCGCGCUUAACGCGGGGAGGCCACGCCAAACGGUGCGGCUCGAGCGAUGCAGAGGGUGGUGGAAUUGCCGGUGUAGUGGUGAAAUGCGUAGAGAUCGGCAGGAACACCAAGGACGAAGAUAACCACCUGGGCAUCAGCUGACACUCAUGUGCGACAGCGUGGGGAGCGAACCGG
rnacentral:rRNA from 1 species